rnacentral:lncRNA from 1 species
UGGAUGAAGAAAGCAGGAUGAGGAAAAUAUAAAUAUUACUACAAUAAUACUAUAAUAAUAAUAUUCAAAUAUUAUAAAAUACAUAAAAACAAUACUAUAAUAACAAAUAUAUAAUAUUAUAUAUAUGUAUCUCCUAAGCAGGGAGGCCCCUCACACAAACACAUGGGAUAAAUAAUAGAGUUUAUAUAUAUAUAGAUAGAUAGAUAUAGAUAUCUACUGAACAGGGACCCCCCACCACACACACACACACACACACACACACACAAACACAUGGGAAAUGAAGGGAAAUAAGCCCUAGAAGGGUGGAGGUCUGCCUGUGGGCCUCUCACCUGCUCCAUCCUGAAGGAAGGUGAGGCCUUUCCUUGAGGCGCCAAGCUCUGAAGAGGAUGAGAAAAGGGUAACCGUUGGGUGCCGUCUUUCCUCCACAUCCUGCGUGCGCGCGCCCGCCUCUCUCUCUCCCCUCAGUACCUGCCCCGCGCGCUCCCGCUCCUCAGCCGUUUGUUCUGCAGCCGCAGCAUACAAUCUUUUUGUAUGGCUGAGCCCAUGCGCGCGCCUCUGCAAGCGAGCGAGCUCCCAAUCCCUGAUUGGCUGCCUCAUUGCCUCUAUUUGCAUACGGGGGGGGGAAGGAAGGAAGGACCUGAGACGAGCUCCGCCCCUUCAUACGGUUGUGUUCGUUCUCGAAGAGCAAGCCACGCCUCUUCGAAAACCAGAACUCGCCCCCUUGAAGGUUCUUUCUCCUAAGCGUCCCGAAGAGCGCGCCUUAUGGGUGUUCUUUAGUGCGCCUGCGCAGUGGCUCUUCUGUGCUUCCAACUUCACCCAGCAGCAUAUGAUAACACCAUGAAAUCUCUUGCGGAGAGACAUUGACUCGACAAGACAAGUGAGCUUCCUGCACAUGACUUUUAUUAGAACUGAGCGCGAGAUGAAGCAUUUCAGAUCAGCAGAACAAAAACUAAAAGAGAACGAAAGCUUCUUCCCGAAAGCAGUUUGCAACGGCAGAAUCAAGCAGCGAGUGCAGUUGGCUUCUGAAAUUUCACUUGGCAAAAACGAGCGCUCUAAAGGUAAAUACUGACUUCCAGGUCUGUUAAAGGGAAGUCAGCCUUGAAAGUCAACAUUGAGGAAUGAUUAACUAAAGGCCAACUUCGGUAGGUAGGCCAGCUAUUUUAUAUAAGUGUAUUGUCGCUCCAAACUAAAAUACCCCCAUUGUCUUUAAGCAGAGAACUAAAGCUUUUUUGUCUUCAAAAUAUAAUUUGCAAUUUUUUUAAAAAAUGAUGAGGAUCUUAUCUGCUUUACAAGAGAUGGGUCACUGCGACCUGAGUCGAAACAACAGAGAACCCAGAAUCUGAAGAAUUAAUGCACUUUGAUACCACUUUAUCUGCCAUGGCUCAAUGCGAUGGGAUCCUGAGAGUUGUAGUUUUACAAGGUCUUCAAGCCUUCUUUUCCAAAGACUGCUGCUCUCUUGAUGAUUACAUAGCAUCGAACUAUGGAGAUUAAAGUGGUGUCAAACUGUAUUAAUUCUACAGUGUAGAUGCACUCGUAAGGAUGAACCUACACUGACACAGAAUCCAGUUCAAAGCAGAUAAUCUGGAUUCAGAAAAUUUGAUUAUAUGGCAAUCUACAUCAUCUUAAUGACUUCACCUUCCAAUAAGUAAACUGAUAAACUAAAGGGGGAAGAUCAUUAAAAAAAAUGUUGCAGUUGCUCCAUGGGUUGCUGCAAGUCACUUUCCCUGGGAAAACAUUGCAAGAGUGAAAUAACAUGGGUGGAGGCAGGGUGUUUGCUCUGGCAUCAUCAGUGGCGACAGGACUGCAAACAAAACCUCUUCCAGUUCUUCCAAAUCAGGAUAUCCUGGGAGAAAAAAACAGAGAAUCAACAAUUGAGCUGAGCAAGAAUGGACAGCCACUGGUCUAGGAAUGGAUCAGAAUUAAUUACUGAGAAAAAAACGACCAACAUUUCUAAAAAUCUUCAUAUUUAGGAUGUGGAGAACUUGAGUGUCAGGAUUUGUCUGGAGAAGACAUCAAAAUCUGCAAGUUCAAAACUCUUAGAAGUCUAGGUCUCAAUUGAAUUUAAUGGGAUGAAUGGAUUAUGACCUGUUAGGAUCAUAACCUUUUGGGUAGCAGAGUUAUGGAAAUGUUCCUUUAGUUUAUUGGGUAAUGGAUGAUCACUGGGCAUGUAGAUAUUUUGUUUCUAUUCUACGCUUUCAGCCGACAAAGAUUCAAGUAGACUUCUUUUAAAGCAACAAGUUUGUUUUACUCAUAGGUAAAGGUAAAGGUGUUCCCCCGAUACUAAGUCCAGUUAUGUCCAACUCUGGGGGUUGGUGCUCAUUUCCAUUUCGAAGCCGAAGAGCCGACAUUGUCCAUAGACACCCCCAAAGUCAUGUGGCCGCCAUGACUGCAUGGAGUGCCAUUGCCUUCCUGCCAGAGUAGUACCUAUUGAUCUACUCACAUUCGCAUGUCUUUGAACUGCUAGGUUGGCAGAAGCUGGGGCUAACAGCGGGCACUCACUCCACUCGCUGGAUUCGAACCACUGACCUUUCGGUCCACAAGUUCAACAGCUCAGCGCUUUAACACGCUGCACCACUAGGGGCUUUUGGAAGAAAGCACCAACUAUUCCCAAAACUCCAUUGAAAAAGGCUGCUUUAGACUCUCCAAGCGGACCUCUCCUUCCUGGACUCUUCCCUCUAUUCUUCCCUCUCCUUUUUAUUCAGAAGCAA